AUAAGUAAUGUGAAUUGCAGAAUU
rnacentral:rRNA from 1 species